rnacentral:tRNA from 1 species
GCAGUCGUGGCCGAGUGGUUAAGGCGAUGGACAAGAAAUCCAUCGGGGUCUCCCCGCACAGGUUCGAAUCCUGUCGACUGCG